UCUUAUCAAGAGAAGCAGAGGGACUGGUCCUAUGAAGCUUCAGCAACCUCCUGGAUAGGAAGGUGCUAAUUCCAGCAAGUUUUGCACUUGGCAGAUAAG
rnacentral:ncRNA from 1 species